rnacentral:rRNA from 1 species
AGGAAGGUGGGGACGACGUCAAGUCAUCAUGGCCCUUAUGUCCUGGGCUGCACACGUGCUACAAUGGCCGGUACAGAGUGAAGCGAAACCGCGAGGUGAAGCAAAACGCAGAAAGCCGGUCUCAGUACGGAUUGGAGUCUGAAACUCGACUUCAUGAAGUUGGAAUCGCUAGUAAUCGCGCAUCAGCAUGGCGCGGUGAAUACGUUCCCGGGCCUU